AGCAUUCUUGCCCUGCCUUCAGUCUGCCAACUGGCUUGGUUGACAACGGCUGGUGACCCAAGGAGCUGCUGAUAGACGCGGACUAGCCAUCUCUGAACAACUUCUUGAAUCAGCUAUUUCCACAGGUGUUCGAAAGAAGAUGAGUUUUUACAGAAGGCUUCAUUCCUUUUUCCAAAGACUCGUCUCUAGGGAGCACAGAGAGAUCCAUGUGCACAAAGUGCUUGUCCAACCUGUAGCAAUGGAGGCAUGCUCUGACUUUAGCCAGCAAGAACAAGCCUUGCCAGAGAAGCCCCAGAGAAGGAAAUGUUCAUGGUCCAUCCUGUCAGGCAUGAAGAGACUCUGUGUCUGUAGCCAAUCUGACACCUCGAUGGCAGGCAGGGAUGAGGAGAGAACAAUUUCCUCACAAAGAAGGUGGAGGCACUUGUCCCGGAAGAAGAUAGCAGCUGAGAACCAGGUGGAGUCAGAGGAGGUGAAGCUGCAGGAGGAUACAGGGAAAGUUGAACUGGAUCCUACAGGGAUGAAGAAGGAGGCGUCGGAGUCGCAGGGGAAGUGGGAAAAAGGGAGCCCAGAAGAGCAGGAAGAAGAGCGCACUCCCACCCCCUCAUUACCAAGCAGCUCCCAUAUGACCAUGACCCCCGGGGAGCAGCUUCCCUCAGCCCAGCUCCAAGCCCUGCUGAUGAGAGCCGUGAAGGGUCUGACGACACCCACCCUGGAGCGAUUUCAAGCCGCCGAGGAAGAGCUGAGGACCAUCGUGUCUCUACACGGAGACAAGAUGGAGAGAGUUGGAGACGUCGUGGGACGUAUCUUAAUCUGGCUGGACAACGUCUGUCAUCCCAGAGCCAGAAAAGCAGCACUGAGGGCCACGGCCUUGCUGGCUCGUUCCCACCCCCAGGACGUGGUUCUGAGCUGUGUGGCACACACGCUGUCCUCGGACAGAUGUGCCAUUGAGCUGUGGAAGGCCCUGGGGGAAGAACCACAGCUCCCCAGGGAGGUGCUGCAGCAGCUGCUGGACAAGCUCCAGCAGAGACGCCGGGAGGAGAAGAGCAGCAAUGUGUCCCUGGCUCACGAAACAGUCAGUGGAGGCUGUGAAGACUCUUUUCUCCAUGCCCGGAUACUGGAAGGAAUUUGCCAGCAUCCAAUUUCAGCAGGGCUGGGACAUGAUAGCCUCACGAUAUUACUACUCACAAGGUGUUGGCGUGAUUGCAAGAGCCAUGAUCGAGUUUGAGAACCCUCAGCUCCCUGCCGUCUUCAGAGAGGCCGUCACCACUGUUCAAAGGGAGAAGGAGGAGGAGCAGAGAAAUAUCGCCAUGACUUUCUGCACUGAGUUUCUCCAGAGUCCUUCCAUUGAGACAAUACUGACAAAAUCAGAGCUCCAGGCGCAGCUCAUGGAAUGGACCCAAGACAAAAAUCCCAUUGUACGUCGGCUCAGUCUGCGAGGCCUUGGCAGUAUUGUGCUCCAGC